GCGUCUCAGGUGGUGCUGGGUGCCUCUGUGACUACAGCUCCCGCCAGACAGCUGCACUGGUUUAAGAACCCACUAGGACCCUAGGACAGCACCUCUCUUAUGUCCCUCCAGCCGGGAAGGAGGUUGCAGCUUCUCGCUGCUGUGAAUCUGUCUCCCCAGGUGACCUCCCAGCCCCUCCACCAUCACUGUUGCCAAGGUUCUGUAUCAAAGCUGCUUGACUUAAAUAUUAAUACUAAAGAGUGUUCUGUUUGCUGAUUAGAUGCUUUUUAUCCCCCCUGAGAUAGGGGGUCUUACUCUGUUGCCCAGGCUGGAGUGCAGUGGC
rnacentral:lncRNA from 1 species